rnacentral:sRNA from 1 species
GCCAGGCGUGGUGGUGCAUGCCUGUAAUCCCAGCGGCUUGGAGGCUAAGACAGGAGGAUUGUGGGUUCAAAGCCAGCCUUAGCAAUGGCGAGGCACUAAGCAACUCAGUGAGACCCUGUAUCUA